AUUUGUAUUCAGUAUUCUCCUAAACAUUUUCAAGUGCGCGGUUUGGUGCAGACUGCAGUGACGUGAUUCUCCGCCCUGAAAUUCUAACCCGCUUCCCGACAGCAGACUGAACAAACCCUCGCUUUGAGCACUGAGCAUUUGUCGUUGAGAAAAUUUGCACUCACUCCUCCAGAGCAGGACAUCAUGACCUCCUUCUUUUCCUUUUGCAUGGUGCUGGGAACCAUGUGUGUGAGUCUCCUCUCGGCAGAUCAGAUCCCUGUAUCUGGCCAUCUGGGUUCUACAGCACUCCUGCCCUGUAAACUGAAGAGUGUAGGCACUGAAGCACCGUAUAUUAGAUGGUUCAUCAAUACUGAGACUGUGUUUGAGCGACAGGGUGAGAAGACAUAUCAGGGUAAGAGAUAUGAGGGCCGUGUGGAUGUUCCUGAGGAAAAUCUGCAUAAAGGGAACUGUUCCUUGGUGUUGCACAACCUGACACGUUCUGAUGCAGCUGUCUACACGAGCUACGAGGUAGUGAGACACACCAGGAGAUCUGACAGAUCAAAGAGAUCUUCCACACUAAACCUGAUCAGCAGUGUUAAACUCUCAGUCAGUGAAAAACUUGCAGAAAAAACUGAAAAGAAAUCAGCUAAAUAUCAAAUGUCUGCAGGUGAUUCAGGAAUGAAGUGUCCUCACCCACAGUUCAUGUUCCUGUUUCUCCUAUCAGUUAUUCUCUCUCUUCUUCUUAUUUGAAGAAACCUGUCACCUAGAGCUGUGCACAGGACUGUGUCUUUAUGCCUCAAGUAUUUUUUUGUGUUCUGCUUACCUGCUUGAACACCCACCUGCCUGUCCGGCUGUCUGUGAUACCUGUCAGGAGGCCAGAACCAAUGCAUAUAGACAUACAAAUUCAAAUUUAUAUUGGUCACAUAUCUAUACACAGUGUGACAUGCAGUGAAAUGCUUGAUCAAAUCCAGGUCCAUGUGAUAAAAUAGAAUCAGGAAGAACAAAAUUAGACUGUGUGUAUAGUGAUGAUGCAGAGAGAAGAGUCCAUUGUUCUUUAGAUGGCAUUGAGGUCUUUCACAGACUUCUUGGCCUUGGUCCAGCACUAGCUAAGUAUCCUGGAGUUUAGGCCGCUCUGUGUGGAUGGUACAAGUAAGAAAACUUUGAGGAAUUUAGUUCCUCUCAUUACUUAUAUUUCCCUUCGUGGACUGAGACUUUGACAGAGUGAUGGGGCUUAUGUACAUUGAUGAACCUCAGGGCUAUGUCAUCAGGAACUGAAUGUUCCUAGUAGGCCCACCCUUGGUGAACAGACCUGAAGGGAGGAGUCAGACAAGGAUCAGUUCUAAUGACUCCUUAAAAAGUACAGGAAAGACAGGAAAAAAAUGCACCCUGUCCACUGUUACAGGAAACGUGUAAGAAAUUGCACAGCUGCAAUUAUAGAAGAUUUUAUAUAAUCAACAACUUCUGAUCAAAUACAAUCGUAGUGAGGUGUAAAAGAUUUAAACAGCAGGACAUGGGUAAUAUUUGCUGUUUUUAAGCAGGUAGCUGAUUAAUAUAAAAUAAAAACAGUAUUUUAUAGACCAACUUUAAAACAUUCUAAUUGACAAGCAACACAACCAAAACAAAAGUAGAAACUUCUCAUGGUUUAUUGACUUUUGACUAAGAAGCUCAUAUAAAAUACACUCACUGAGCCUUGAUGUGGUACAGUAUGUGUUACACAGAAAAUCACACAGAUAUGUGCCAGCAGCUUCAGCCACCAUUUACAUUUCUGGCAUUGGUAGAUCUUCUUUUCCAGAGCAAUGUACAAAAGUGCUAGUUUUACUUAAACUAGCUAGAGCUAGUUUAAGUGCUUCAGGAAAAGGUAGGUCUUCAGACAAGUUCAUUCCACCACCUCGGUGCCAGAACAGAGAAGAGUCAAGCUGAAUACCUACCUUUUACCCUGAGAGAUGGUGGGACCAGUCGGGCAGUGCUAGUGGACCUGAGGGAGCGAGGUGCAGUGUGAGGAGUAAUAAGAUCUUUGAGGUAAGAUGGAGCUGGUCCAUUCUUGGCUUUGUAGAAAAGCAUCAGUGUUUUCAAUCUGAUGCAGCUACCAGAGGCCAAUGGAGGGAACACAGCAGUGGGGUGGUGUGGGAGAACUUAGGCAGGUUGAAAACAAGCUGUGCAGCUGCAUUUUGGAUCAUUUGCAUUGGACGAAUUGCAUUCAGAGGAAGACCUGCCAGUAAAGAGUUGCAGUAGUCCAGUCUCGAAAUAACCAGAGACUGAACAAGCACUUGAGUAGCCUGUGUGGAUAAAAAUGGUCAAAUCCUUCUGAUGUUGUACAGAAGAAACCGACAUGAGCGUGUCACAUUAGCAACAUGGGAGGAAAAGGACAGUUGAUUGUCCAUGGUUACCCCAAGGUUGCAAGUUUAGGGUGGUGAGUGAAGGGGACAGGUGAAGGGGAGAUCAUUGAGUUGUUCAGAGAUAAUGCAAGAUCCUGGGCUGGGGAUGAGUCACCUGGGAUGACCAGCAGUUCAGUUUUGCUGGGAUUGAGUUUCAGCUGAUGAGCUGUCAUCCAAGAUGAAAUGUCCAGAAGUUGUGGUGUCUGAGGGAGGGAAGGAGAAGAUAAGUUGGGUGUCAUCAGCAUAGCAGUGGUAUGAAAAGCCAUGUGAGGAUAUAACUUUGCCAAGAGAGUGAGUGUAGAGGGAGAAAAGGAGAGGACCUUGUGUGACACCAGUAUAGAGUCUACGUGGAGUAGAUGUCAAUCCCUUCCAUGUUACCUGAUAUGAGCGACCAUGUAGGAAGCAAACCAUUCCCAUUCUGUUCCACAAAUUCCAAGACUCUUGAGGGUGGACAAGAGAGUCUUGUGGUCAAAUGCUGCAGAAAGGUCGAGGAGGAUGAGGACUGAUGACAGCUUGUCUGAUCUAGCAGCAUGUAGUUUCUCAGUGGAAUGUGCUGCUUUGAAGCAGCAAAAUUGUAAAUGUCCAUGUUUUUUGACCAAUGACAUGAUUGAUAGUAGCAGAUGGGCUGAGCUUGAGUUUUUCUAUAAAUAUGAUAAACAUAAAAUGUAGUAGACUAUAGAGAAAUUUAAAGGAAAUAAAAUGUGUAUGUAGCUGGUCAAAAGGUGCUAUAUGUAAAUUAUAUAUACAUACAUACAUACAUGUACACUACCGCUGAAUGUUUUCUUCAAACUUUGCCUUCAUAAAAAAAACAGCUUUUGCAGCAAUUACACCCUGGGCAUUCUAACUGUCAAUUUUUCAAGAUAAUCUGAUGGGAUUUCACCCCAUGCUUCCUGGAGCAUGUCUCACAAGAUGGAUUGGCUGAUGGAGUCUUCCUCCUUAGCUGAAAUCAAGCUGAAAUAUGCGAGUGAUCCCAGACUUUUGAGAGGUAGUGUAUAUAUACAGCUCUGGAAAAAAAAAGAGACCACUGCAAAAUAAUGAGUUUCUUAUGGGUUUUUUUCUUCCAGGUUCAUGUAUUGGUGAGAUGAAGAGUUUUGUUUCAUUUUUUGUGAACUGCUGAUAAUAUUUCUCCUAAAUUCAAAAUAUAACUAUUGUUAUUUAGAGUGUAUAUUUAAAGGAAAUGACAACACAUCAAAAUAACCCAAGAUCAUGCAGUAUUAGCAGAGCUUUAAUAACUUGAAUAAAACAAAAUGCAAAUAAUUUGUAUUUGUGGAAUAAUCUAAAUCGGUCUGUGGAAUAACCCUGAUCUGCAUGCGUUUUGGCUCCAUGCUCUCCACCAAUUUUUCACAUUGCUGUUGGGUAACUUUAUACUACUGUACUCUUUUUGCAAACCAUCUUUGCUUGAUGGUUUGUGAUCAUCCAUCUUCCUCUUGAUGACAUUCCAGAGGUUCUCAAUAGGGUUCAGAUCUGGAGAUUGGGCUGGCCAUGACAGGGUCUUUAUCUGGUGAUCCUCCAUCCAGACUCUGAUUGCUCUGGCUGUAUGGCAUGGUGCAUUGUCCUGUUGGAAAGUCCAAUCCUCUGAAUUGGGGAACAUUGUCUUAGCAGAAGGAAGACAAUGUUCUUCUAGAACAACCCUGUACUUGGCUUGAUUCCAGCCUUGCUGAAGCACCCCCAAAUCAUUACUGACCCUUCUCCAUAUUUUACAGUUGGUGGAAGACACUGUGGGUUGUAGGCCUCUCCAGGUCUCCAUCUAACCAUAACACGACCGGGUGUCGGGCAAAGCUGAAAAUUGGACUCAUCAGAAAAGAUUACCUUACUCCAGUCUGUUACAGUCCAAUUCCUUUUGCAAACUUCAGCCUUGCUCUUCUUUGCUUUUUACUAAUGAAGUGCUUUUUUCUGGCUUUGUAUGACUUCAGCCCUGCGUGUAGAAGCCUGUUUCGAACUGUUCUUGCUAUGCUUUUCACCCCAGUCUGAGUUUGCCACUGUUGUUGAAGGUCACUUGAGGUCAGCCUACAGUUUGAUUGACAUUCGAAUAAGUUUGCAGUCAUCUCACUUGUUACUGGCCCGUUUCCGGCCUCUUCCAGGCUGUAGCUUUGUUGUUCCUAGUGUCUGUUGCUUGAUCUUGUUUUUGUGAACUGCCGUCUCUGAAAUAUUAAGGAUACAAGUAACUUGACGCUCACUGAAUCCUUGUGCCAGUAAAGCUAGGAUUGAGCCUUUUUUUGCUUCUUCACUCAAAACCUUUCUUUUCACUGUUUUGGGCAUUUUCAGUUGUUAUUUUUAAAUUUCCAAUUACCGUUGAAAGACUUCUAACACUUUUUUACCAUCCAACUGGUCACAUGGUCUGUGCUACCUGAUGGGAGCUCUGAGAAGAGACUGUGUCCAGGGUGGUGAACACAGUCAAUUGCCUUGGCUCUGGUCCUGCAUUGCUGGGCCUAGAUGUCUGUGAGGCAGAAGAGAGAAGUCCUGAUGGCCUUCUCUGCCAUCCUCACCACUCUGAACAGUCCUGGGCAGUGGAACCUCCAAACUAGGUGUUGAUGCUCCAGGUGAGAAGACUCUCAGUUUCAUCAAUGUGCUGCAGUUCUUCACCUGCUUUUUCCUGUAAUAAAUAAUCAUCUCCUUAGUCUUGGUGACAUUCAGGGUAAGAUGGUUAUUGUAGCACCAUGUGGACAGGACAUCCACUUUCCUCUAAACAGGCCUAGUUGAUGGUUGAUGCUAUCACCUGUGGAACUGUUGGACCAGUAUGAAAACAGUAACUGGUCUAGGCAAUUGGCAAUUCUGUAGGUACUACAGACAUUAGUGCUACAAGACGGUCAUUCAAGAAGGACGGAAAAAAGUCAGGGCAUCAGGAUGAAGUUAAGUGAAUUUUGAAUUCAUUUCAACAUUUGAAUGUUUUAACUUCUUAAGCCCGGCCCCAUUCUUGUCUUUGUUUACAAAGUUCUGCUACAAGGAGAGUUCUCAACUACUUAAUACACUUGUGCUGAAGCCGUGGCUUUUUUCAUUCACAUAUUUUCCAGGUUUUAUGUACACUUGUAAAAAUAAAUAAAUAAGUGGCUAUUACUACUUCAAGGUAACAGUUUAUGCGUUUGUGAAGACUUACUGAGUCAAUGUGUUAGAGUGAAACCUAGUGGCAUUAAGUGGUAUUGUUAACCACAAAGUGAUGUACUAUAUGCAACCUUUUUCAGAUUCAGUAAAAAAAAAUCCAAGUUUCAUCACCUGUCCAGAUGGUAUCUACCUGUGACAUUUUAGGAUUUUCCUUUCCUUUCAUAUAUAUCUAGCAUCCUGUUUUAUGCUAUCCAAACUCACAUUAUCUUCACAAUAUAUCUUAUUUUAUUUAUAUAAAUCAGUAAAAUAAAUACUGCUAAAUAUACUGUACCUGGAAUAAAACAGUUCACAUUUAUGGCAUUCAGCAGACACCAUUUUCCAGAUGGACAUUUUUAUGAACUGAGCAUUAUGGGCCCAACAGUGGCAGCUUGGACCUGGGAUUCAAACUCACAAUCUUAUGAACAGUAGCCCAACACCAUAACCAUUGUGCUACCACAUCCCCUGCUACCAUAAUAAGUAAAAUUUAUUUAAUUGGGUAAAAAAGUAAGUUAAAUUAGUUGGGUAAAUGCCUUUUAACUUUUAUUAUUAUAUAACCAUAAUAAUAAAAUUAAUCAUGCAAUUUUUCUUCAGUGACACACGUUAGUAUACAGCACUUUAAAUAUUUGCCUGUUACAGCAAACUUUCCAAGUCCCAUAGUGAUCACCAAUAAACAGAGUGCUUGUACAGUUGCUUUAAACUCUUUAUGGCACAUUUCUCGCAUUGCAGGUUACUGUGUAUGAAGCAGCACAGCAGAGACUGGUCAGAGUGCCCAUGCUGAACCCUGUACACCACCAAAUGGUCCGGCAAAGGAGGAUCAGACAGAAACAUUGUUGCAGACCAAAUACAACCUUCAUAGUGUAAAGGUUUCAGUCCCCUCCCACCCCUUGCCUGUUUACCGACCUUGCUCUCAUUUUGGAUUUGUUUGCCUUGUGUUCAGACAAUAAAUGCUACAUAUGGAUUCUACACCUACUGCCUCUAAUUCUACAUUACACAUAGCAACAUUCCCUAAUGGUCUCUCUCAACAAAAUAAUAAACCCUGACACACUGCAAAAAUUGUUCAGCAAUGUGACAUAGAAUUCUCCAAAUUCACAGAUCAUAAUCUGCAUGAGCAUAUGUGGGAUAUGCUGGACACUCAUUGGAGGCGACACCUCUUAACUUACAUGACUUAAAGGAUCUGCUAAUGUCUUGAUGCCAUAUACCACAGCACACCUUUUUAAGCCCAUGCCUUGAUGAGUCUGAGCUGUUUUGAUGUUAUGGAGGAUUGGUACAAAAUAGAAUCUAGAACCUUCAACAUUAACAGAACAAGUUGUAAAGUAGGUCAAUUAUAUGCUGGCAUGGUAUUGGAAAGACAAAGAUUGGCUUUGUACCCAUGUACCCAUGACCCUGUCACCAGGUCACUGUCCAUAGCAGUCACAUGUGUCUCCAGGUAGUCCACAUGGAAAUCCUCAGCAACAGUGAGCACUUCACUGAAGAGAAGAAAUAGUCAGAAGUUCUGGGAGCUCAGGAUUAUCAUGUUACUGUGAGAGAGGAACAAAAUUAGGUAUGCUUGUGAUCAUGUAAUGAUUAAAGACAAUGUACAUUAUGUGCAAAGUGCAGUGCCAAGACUAGCUUUGAUAGCACAACUAAAAGGGAGAGCCAGAAAGUGACAGACACGAGGGCUUCCUGGGACAUAAAGUGUGCAACCACUUCACAAUCCACUUAAAUAGAGUGGGCCAAAGGUGUGUCCAAAACACUAACUGGAAGGCUGUUUCAUAACUGAGGGGCUUUGUUAGAAAAAGCUCUGUCCCCUGCUAUAGCCUUUGCUACUUUUGUUGGUACUACAAAAAAGCUUGCACCUUUCUCUGCUGCAUUCUGGACUAACUGGAGCUUGUUUAUGAUCCCACUGGAACAUCCAGACAGUAAGGCAUUACAAUAAUCCAACCUAGAGGUAACAAAAGCAUGAACUAGUUUUUCUGCAUCAUGAAGUGACAUCAUAUUUCUUAUCUUAGCAAUAUUUCUGAGAUGAAAGAAGGCUACCCGAGUGAUAUUAUCUACAUGAGCUUCAAACAAAAGACCAGAAUCAAUAAUCACACCAAGAUCUUUUACUCAUGGACAUGAUGAAACAGAAAGACCAUCCAGAGUUACUCUGUAAUCAGAACCGGGUCCUAGUGCAAGCAUAGAGUUAAGCAGGAGGAAGUUGGUAAGCAUCAACUGUCUGAUAUUCUUUACACAUUCUUUAAAGCUGGAGCCAGCAUAACAAUCUAUGUCAUGUAAUCUAAUGACAUGUUCACAAAUAAUUGCACCAAGAGGUAGCACAUAUAAGGAGAAAAGCAGU